GUUGAAGCACCAGUUCCCAUAUGAUCACUGAAGUUAAGCAAUAUCGAGCCUAGUCAGUACCUAGAUGAGUGACUACUUGAGAAUACCAGGUGCU